CAAAGGUUCCCUCAGCCUGGUUGGCAAUCAGGUGUUGAGUGUAAGUGCACAAGGGAGCUUGACUGUGAGACCGACGGGUCGAGCAGGGACGAAAGUCGGGACUAGUGAUCCGGCAGUGGCUUGUGGAAGCGCUGUCGCUCAACGGAUAAAAGGUACCCCGGGGAUAACAGGCUGAUCUUCCCCAAGAGUCCAUAUCGACGGGAUGGUUUGGCACCUCGAUGUCGGCUCGUCGCAUCCUGGGGCUGGAGUCGGUCCCAAGGGUUGGGCUGUUCGCCCAUUAAAGCGGUACGCGAGCUGGGUUUAGAACGUCGUGAGACAGUUCGGUCCCUAUCCGCUGCGCGCGUAGGAAUAUUGAGAAGGGCUGUCCCUAGUACGAGAGGACCGGGACGGACGAACCUCUGGUGUGCCAGUUGUUCUGCCAAGGGCAUGGCUGGUUGGCUACGUUCGGAAAGGAUAACCGCUGAAAGCAUCUAAGCGGGAAGCCUGCUUCGAGAUGAGUAUUCCCACCCUCUUGAGGGGUUAAGGCUCCCAGUAGACGACUGGGUUGAUAGGCCAGAUGUGGAAGCCCGGUAACGGGUGGAGCUGACUGGUACUAAUAGGCCGAGGGCUUGUCCUCAGUUG
rnacentral:rRNA from 1 species